GUGGAUUAGAUACCCUGGUAGUCCACGCCCUAAACGAUGUCAACUAGGUGUUGGGGGAGCAAUUUCUCAGUACCGUAGCUAACGCGUGAAGUUGACCGCCUGGGGAGUACGGCCGCAAGGUUAAAACUCAAAGGAAUUGACGGGGACCCGCACAAGCGGUGGAUGAUGUGGAUUAAUUCGAUGCAACGCGAACAACCUUACCUACCCUUGACAUGUCCGGAAGCCUGGUGAGAGCUGGGUGUGCCCGAAAGGGAACUGGAACACAGGUGCUGCACGGUCGUCGACAGCU
rnacentral:rRNA from 1 species